UACAGAGGUCUCAAGCGUUGUUCGGAUUCAUUGGGCGUAAAGGGUGUGUAGGUGGCGCCGUAAGUCGGGUGUGAAAUCUCGGGGCUUAACUCCGAAACUGCAUUCGAUACUGCGGUGCUUGAGGACUGGAGAGGAGACUGGAAUUCAUGGUGUAGCAGUGAAAUGCGUAGAGAUCAUGAGGAAGACCAGUGGCGAAGGCGGGUCUCUGGACAGUUCCUGACACUGAUGCACGAAGGCCAGGGGAGCAAACGGG
rnacentral:rRNA from 1 species